AUAAGAAAGUAGGAUGAGAUUUGAGGGAGAUUUAGCUGUUAUUUCUACCUGGUUUAGCUAACAUGUAGAGGGCUCCCUCAUUGGCUCAUACAUACAUAUAUACAUACUUAAAGCAGUAGGG